rnacentral:tRNA from 1 species
AAGUAAGAAGCUGUAGUAGCGCCUAAUUUCGACUUAGUUUUUGAGGGUAAAUCCCCUCCUCACUUA